rnacentral:rRNA from 2 species
UUGACCUCGGAUCAGGUAGGGAUACCCGCUGAACUUAAGCAUAUCAAUAAGCGGAGGAAAAGAAACCAACAGGGAUUGCCUUAGUAACGGCGAGUGAAGCGGCAAUAGCUCAAAUUUGAAAGCUGGCGUCUUCGACGUCCGCGUUGUAAUUUGUAGAGGAUGCUUCGGCGAGGACUCCUGCCUAAGUCCCCUGGAACGGGGCGUCACAGAGGGUGAGAAUCCCGUAUGUGGCGGGCGGUCCAAGCCAUGUGAAGCUCCUUCGACGAGUCGAGUUGUUUGGGAAUGCAGCUCUAAAUGGGAGGUAAAUUUCUUCUAAAGCUAAAUAUUGGCCAGAGACCGAUAGCGCACAAGUAGAGUGAUCGAAAGAUGAAAAGCACUUUGGAAAGAGAGUUAAAAAGUACGUGAAAUUGUUGAAAGGGAAGCGCUUGCAACCAGACUCGCUCGCAGUUGCUCAGCCGGCCUCUUGGCCGGUGUACUCUUCUGCGAUCGGGCCAGCAUCAGUUCGGGCGGCCGGAUAAAGGUGUCGGGAAUGUAGCACCCUUCGGGGUGUGUUAUAGCCCGGCGCGGAAUGCGGCCAGCCUGGACUGAGGAUCUCGCUUCGGCAAGGAUGCUGGCGUAAUGGUUGUAAGCGGCCCGUCU